rnacentral:rRNA from 1 species
AACGAACGCUGGCGGCAGGCUUAACACAUGCAAGUCGAACGCCCCGCAAGGGGAGUGGCAGACGGGUGAGUAACGCGUGGGAAUCUACCUAGAACUACGGAACAACUGAUGGAAACGUCAGCUAAUACCGUAUACGCCCUAUGGGGGAAAGAUUUAUCGGUUUUAGAUGAGCCCGCGUAAGAUUAGCUAGUUGGUGAGGUAAUGGCUCACCAAGGCGACGAUCUUUAGCUGGUCUGAGAGGAUGAUCAGCCACACUGGGACUGAGACACGGCCCAGACUCCUACGGGAGGCAGCAGUGGGGAAUAUUGGACAAUGGGCGCAAGCCUGAUCCAGCCAUGCCGCGUGAGUGAUGAAGGCCUUAGGGUUGUAAAGCUCUUUCAGUGGGGAAGAUAAUGACGGUACCCACAGAAGAAGCCCCGGCUAACUUCGUGCCAGCCGCCGCCGUAACAC